AUUGAACGCUGGCGGCAUGCCUUACACAUGCAAGUCGAACGGCAGCACGGGUGCUUGCACCUGGUGGCGAGUGGCGAACGGGUGAGUAAUAUAUCGGAACGUACCUUAUUGUGGGGGAUAACGCAGCGAAAGCUGUGCUAAUACCGCAUAAUCCCUAAGGGGGAAAGCGGGGGACCGUAAGGCCUCGCGCAAUUAGAGCGGCCGAUACCUGAUUAGCUAGUUGGUGAGGUAAAGGCUCACCAAGGCAACGAUCAGUAGCUGGUCUGAGAGGACGAUCAGCCACACUGGGACUGAGACACGGCCCAGACUCCUACGGGAGGCAGCAGUGGGGAAUUUUGGACAAUGGGGGCAACCCUGAUCCAGCAAUGCCGCGUGAGUGAAGAAGGCCUUCGGGUUGUAAAGCUCUUUUGUCAGGGAAGAAACAGCAGCUCUAACUCAGUAUGCGAAUGACGGUACCUGAAGAAUAAGCACCGGCUAACUACGUGCCAGCCGCCGCCGUAAUAC
rnacentral:rRNA from 1 species